CUGUUUAUCAAAACAUGUCCUCUUGAAAAUACUUUGAGGUCUGGCCUGCUCACUGAGCAGAUUUUUAAAGAGCCGCGGUAUUUUGACCGUGCAUAGGUAGCAUAAUCAUUAGUCUCUUAAUUAGUGGCUGGAAUGAAUGGCUUGACGAGAAAUCAACUGUCUCUUAAUAAAUUUUUGAAUUUAACUUUUGAGUCAAAAGGCUUAAAUUUUUCUUUAGGACGAGAAGACCCUAUAGAGCUUAACAUUUUAUUUUUAUAUAGUUUUUUGUUUGUCUA